rnacentral:rRNA from 1 species
UACGUAGGGGGCAAGCGUUGUCCGGAUUUAUUGGGCGUAAAGAGCGUGUAGGCGGCCCGGUAAGUCCGCUGUGAAAGUCCAGGGCUCAACCCUGGGAUGCCGGUGGAUACUGUCGGGCUCGAGUCCGGAAGAGGAGUGUGGAAUUCCUGGUGUAGCGGUGAAAUGCGCAGAUAUCAGGAGGAACACCAAUGGCGAAGGCAGCUCGCUGGGACGUGACUGACGCUGAGGAGCGAAGCGUGGGGAGCGAACAG